rnacentral:rRNA from 1 species
GACGAACGCUGGCGGCGUGCUUAACACAUGCAAGUCGAACGGUGAACCUCUUCGGAGGGGAUCAGUGGCGAACGGGUGAGUAACACGUGGGCAACCUGCCCCCGGCUCUGGGAUAACUCCAAGAAAUUGGGGCUAAUACCGGAUGUUCACCGCUUCCCGCAUGGGUGGCGGUGGAAAGGGUUUCCGGCUGGGGAUGGGCCCGCGGCCUAUCAGCUUGUUGGUGGGGUAGUGGCCUACCAAGGCGACGACGGGUAGCCGGCCUGGGAGGGUGACCGACCACACGGGGACUGAGACACGGCCCAGACUCCUACGGGAGGCAGCAGUGGGGAAUAUUGCGCAAUGGGCGGAAGCCGGACGCAGCGACGCCGCGUGGGGGAUGACGGCCUUCGGGUUGUAAACCUCUUUCAGCAGGGACGAAGCGCAAGUGACGGUACCGGCAGAAGAAGCACCGGCCAACUACGU